ACAGGUAUGACAUCACGCGAGGUCGCCAUUUUGCAUUCCCUAGCAAACUUUUCUCCCCUUCAAACAGGUAAGCGUAGAACGGAAGGUUGGUUGCAUUUAGAGCUUCCUUCUGUAUUAUCUGGGAGGACCAGCCUUCUAUCGGCCCCAGCUUUGAGGAUGAGAAGAGAGGAAGGAGCAGCUGAGAUUAAAGAUGGUUAUCUUGCGAAGGAAGCCAUGCCUGAGGACCAAGGAGCUGAAGACAGGACUUGUCAAGGAAGAAGAGAACUUUCCCACCAAGAGGAGUUGACAAAGGAGGGACCAGAACUUCUUCUCCUUCUUUCCAGGUGAUGGCAGUAUGGAUCUCUAAGAGCUGGCCAGGUGCUCCACCUGGAUGGUGCUGGUGGUGACAGUGAGGCAGAUGUCUUUGUGAUGCUCUGCCGUCUUAUAGGGGGUCAGGUCAAAGGAACAUUGGGGUGGAGGGUUCGGGUUGCUGUCCCCACCACCCCCACCAGGGGGAGCUCCCCCAGGUGACUGGAAGUGUGGUGGUUGUGGUGGUGGUGGCUGUUGCUGUUGCUGCUGCUGCUGUGAUGCCUGGGAAGCCUGGGCCUGGGCCUGGGCCUGAGCCUGAGCCUGGGCCUGGGCCUGGGCCUGGGCCUGGGCCUGAGCCUGAGCCUGGGCCACUGCUGCUGCCGCCGCUGCCGCUUGCACUUGUUGCUGAAGAUCAGGAGGGUUGUGUUUGCGCAUAUGUUUCAUAAGAUAUGUUUCCUGGGAAAGAUGGUAAAAAGAAGUUAAGAUGAAAGGAAGGGAAAGACAUGAACUGCAACUACCACCCUGGACCCCCACUCUGUCAUGCCUGUAAAGGGAUGCUCUGGACCGGGACCUUUAGAAAUCACCAUGGACACUGAGCUGGCAGAGAAAGUUAUUUUUCUCAAAGAUCUCCUAGUAAAGCUAUUUGAUAAUCUUGUUCUAGAAUCUCAUAAAAAAUACCCAAAACCUUUCUUCAUCACAAAACCUUGCCUUAUAUGUCUAGAAUAAAGACUCACUGCUUAUGGUGCUAGUUAUCUCUAAAUACUGACUCUAAUAAGUGAGAGCAGGGGCAAGCACAUGCUGAGCUAAACACGAGAUUUCCAUCAAGAAGGGACACAGACAUGAGAAGAGAAAAUACCAAGCACUUACCGAUGUGUAUGCCCGACUACAGAUCGUGCAGGUAUACACCUUGGCGUGUUUCACCGUAUGUGUAGAUAAGUGAGCGUCUAGUGAGGCUGCAUCUGUGUACGCCCGGUGACAAUUGUGGCACUUGAAGGGUUUGUCUUUGUUGUGCUGCCUUCUGUGAGACUGCAAACAAAUGAGAGAAAACAAAAUGAAUACUGUUCCUUCCUUGGCCUUCAUGGAGAGAGCCCUGAGGUAAGCACAGGACUUCAGAACUGUCUCUACGAUCAAAGUAUCAAAUACACGAUGACAGCAAACUCCUCAAGGCGGUGUCUGACCACUUUUGGGUAAGAACAUCACAUCUGUAAGAAACAGGGUGAAGAUAGCCAACUGCCGGGAGUCUGGACUCCACUUCGUCUUGAGACAUCACCGAAGGAAACCAUCAGCUCUUCGAGUGUCAGACCCCCUUCUCCCUAGUAACUCCGUAUUGAUGGAUUUGAUGCAAGCAUGCUAUUUAUGAAGCAGGAGUUUCUUUAGUCUGUUCCCAGUUCUUGGUGAAUGUUUAAUUCAGUUUCCUUUUGUGCUCUACUCUUGGCAUCCCUUGGAAUCUUGCUUGUUGCUGUUGAGUGUAUCCAGGCCGAUGCCAACUUAAAUCUGAUUAUACCUCCCACUCAUAAUUGGUGUCUUGAGGCUAGAAGUAGGUCUUCUAAAACCAAAUGACUCUGUUUCAGCACCAAAGAAAUCUGGAAGAUGUGUGCUUGGUAUUUUCAGGGAGGAAAGUGAAGGAAAUUGUCAUCUUUGUUUCGAGUUUCUCUCUGUCUUUAAUCAAUCAAGAAAUAUCAAUCACUGUGUCUUUUUGAUAGAGUUUGUGCUCCAGAAAAGUUCUCUUGACAUCCACUUCUUUUCUCUCUGUUGCGGUCACAUUCUCCUCCAGCCAGGUCUCACUCCCGCCCCCCGCAUGCGGGUGGUUGUAUGUGUCCGGGGCGGGGGUGGGGAGGGCAUGCCAGCGGGGCGGGAUCAGUAGCCCGCCCCUCUCCCUUACCGUGUGUGCUGCUGGAGGUGGGAGAGCUGGCGGAAGGCCUUCUGGCAGUAGGAACAGUUGUAGGGCUUGGCCCCCGAGUGGAUACGGAGGUGCUGAGCCAGGUAGGAGGUGUUGGCGAAGGUCUUGGAGCAGUGUGGGCACUUAUGGGGCUUGAUGGUCUCCGUGUGCAUCUUGGAGUGGAUCCUGCCGGAGAGGAGAGGAGGGAAGGGGGGAGGAGGAAGCAGUUCGACACCACGGGCUCAGCGCUCUGCUGGGUGAAAUGAUGUUGCUUGACGGAUGAGAGCACCCCCUCCUCCCUCCUCCCAAUAAAGCUCCGGCUGAAGAGGCUAAUGAAGAGGACACCCACGUCUAGGUUGUUGCUGACUGCAAGUCGGUGGCUAGAAUGGCAGUGAGAUGAUGAAGAGCUGCAACCCACGGCUCUCGGUAACCUUACAGUAUUCGGUCUUGUCAACCCUCGGCCUUUUCCUAAGGCUGCACACUCACCACAGUUACCCUGUUUCCAAAUAGCAAUUUGAACAUAGGCCAAUACCGCCUGUUCCCCAUGGACCUGAAGUUGAAUGCACACCAUGGCUCUGAACUGAAGCAUAUAGUAAAAGCAGGGUCUGCUCUGUAGAGGAUUUCCAAACAGACACAGAGAGAAACCACAAAAAUCGUUCCAGAGUUGGGGACUGGAAAUAACAAUUUUCAAGGCCCCCCAACUGCUAGGAUACAGUUUAAUUUUCAGACAGUAACAAGAGAGAUUAAGAUUUCAAAAGGCAAAAGAGAGAACAGUUGGCACAGGCCACAUGGUCUUGGGUGUUUUGUAGCCAGGUGAGGGGAGGAGCAACCUUACCGGGUGUGCUGCUGCAGAUGGGAGAGCUGGCGGAAGGAUUUCUCACAGAAGUUACAACUAUAGGGCUUGGCCCCCGAGUGGAUACGGAUGUGCUGGGCCAGGUAGGAGCUGUUGGCGAAGGUCUUGGAGCAGUGCGGGCACUUGUGGGGCUUGGUCUCGGUGUGUGACUUGGAGUGGAUCUGCAUCUCCGACUUUGAGUAGAAGGUCAGUGAGCACAUCCGGCACCUGGCCAAGCAAGGGCAACAUUAGAGCCUUUCCACCAGGAGGUGCUGCUGAGCCUCACAAUCCUGCCAAGAGACUUCUACCUGACCCCAUGUGGUGUUCCAACUACAUAGUGAGGCUUGUAGCUUUUCCUUAUUCUUUUCUUUUCAAAGAAAGGGUCUCAUGCAGCUCAAGCUGGCCUUGAAAUCAUUAUGUAGCGCAGGCUGGCCUUCAACUCAUGACUCUCUUAUUUCUUACCUCCCCAAACUGGGAUUAUAGCUAUGUGCCUCCAUGCCCAGCCUACCACAGUGCAAAGCACUCAGAAAUACCCAAUAAGACAGGUAGAUAUUAUGAUCUGGGUGAAUAUAUAUCUGUGGUUCCUAAUGCUGUGGUCCUUUAAUACAGUUAGUUCUUCAUACUGUAGUAUCUUCUAACCAUAAAAUUAUUUCAUUGCUACUUCGUAACUGAAAUUUUGCUACUGCUAUGAAUUGUAAUGUAAGUAUCUGCUUUCCAAUAGUCUUAGGCGACCCCUGUGAAAGGGGUCCCAGAGGGACACAACCCAGAGGCUGGCAAUCACUGAUAGAGACUUUAUUGGCACAGCUAAGGUUUCAAACUUUUCACGGUACUCCUAGCACUCCAUGUUGGUCUCAUAUUUCUCAAGCCCCUCCCCGCUAUGCAAUAAAGAAGGAAAACUGCAUCUCCAGACAACCGUCUUCUUAGUGAUUUUUCCCUACUUCCUUAUUGUAGUGAUUGCUAAAGAGAUGGAGAUGGAAAGUACCAGAAUUUCCUAAUCUAUAUCUGGUCUCUAUCUUGUAGCUGAUGUUUCAUUAAUCACCUGCCUCUGCCCCAGCCUUAAGCCAAUCAAAUGAGAACCACUUUUGAAACAAGCCAAGGAAACGGUUAGUACUGGAUUAAAAUCCUUAAAUCUUAACAAAAAUAAAGGAAUUGAAAAGCAAUGAUUGCAAUGCUACACCUUUCCUUUUCCUUAGCACACGAAGCCAAUGCUGGCAAGCCUAGGUCAUCAACAGCACCUGAAUAGACUUUUACUGGUCACCUGAACCAGCGGAUCAUUCCUACUCUGACACUAGACAACAAUAUCAAAUGAGCAGGUCUCUCAGCAAGUUAAGCCACAUCCCCUUAGACUUUACUGAGUAAAAGUUAUUUAUACAUGAGUUAGGAAC